CUGACCUCAAAUCAGGUGGGACUACCCGCUGAACUUAA
rnacentral:rRNA from 5 species